rnacentral:tRNA from 1 species
UAGUGUAAAUAGCACAGAAAGCUUUGAUCUUUCAAGAAACGGUGGAAUUCCUU